rnacentral:rRNA from 1 species
CCUACGGGAGGCAGCAGUGGGGAAUUUUGCACAAUGGGGGAAACCCUGAUGCAGCGACGCCGCGUGAUUUAGAAGGCCUUCGGGUUGUAAAAAUCUUUUUUAUGGGAUGAAAAUGACAGUACCAUAAGAAUAAGGUCCGGCUAAAUACGUGCCAGCAGCCGCGGUAAUACGUAUGGACCGAGCGUUGUCCGGAAUCAUUGGGCGUAAAGGGUACGUAGGCGGCCCAGUAAGUUAGAAGUGAAAUAAUAUAGCUCAACUAUAUAAAGCUUUUAAAACUGCUAGGCUUGAGAGAUGGAAGGGAAAGUGGAAUUCCUAGUGUAGCGGUGAAAUGCGCAGAUAUUAGGAAGAAUACCGGUGGCGAAGGCGACUUUCUGGUCAUCAUCUGACGCUGAGGUACGAAAGCGUGGGUAGCAAACAGGAUUAGAUACCCUGGUAGUCCACGCUGUAAACGAUGAGUGUUAGGUUCUUGGAAUAAUCUGGGAGCCGCAGCUAACGCAUUAAACACUCCGCCUGGGGAGUACGCACGCAAGUGUGAAACUCAAAGGAAUUGACGGGGACCCGCACAAGCAGCGGAGCAUGUGGUUUAAUUCGACGCAACGCGAAGAACCUUACCAAGUCUUGACAUAAUACGGAGGGAAUUAGAGAUAGUUUCUUAAGACUUCGGUCUACUGUAUUACAGGUGGUGCAUGGUUGUCGUCAGCUCGUGUCGUGAGAUGUUGGGUUAAGUCCCAUAACGAGCGCAACCCCUAUCGUUAGUUACCAUCAUUAAGUUGGGGACUCUAGCGAUACUGCCGGUGAUAAACCGGAGGAAGGUGGGGACGACGUCAAAUCAUCAUGCCCUUUAUGACUUGGGCUACACACGUGCUACAAUGGCAGGUACAGAGGGCAGCGAAAGAGCGAUCUGAAGCGAAACUCAAAAAACCUGUCCCAGUUCGGAUUGUACUCUGCAACUCGAGUACAUGAAGUUGGAGUUGCUAGUAAUCGCGAAUCAGAAUGUCGCGGUGAAUGCGUUCCCGGGUCUUGUACACACCGCCCGUCACACCAUGGGAGUUGGCAAUACCCGAAGCCUGUGAGCGAACCUUUUAGGACGCAGCAGUCGAAGGUAGGGUCAGUAACUGGGGUGAAGUCGUAACAAGGUAGCCGUAUCGGAAGGUGCGGCUG